GCGGAGCUCACAGGCGGAGCGCGGCCCGGGAGGCGCGGCGAGGAGGCGGGGCCCUGCCUGGCCCGCCCCGCCUCGGCCCGCAGGGGCAACCGCUGCCCACCGCCCCAGCCCCGGCCCGGCCUGGCCCGGCCCGGCCCGGCGUGGUCGGGAAGGAGGCCGGGCGCCGACGUAUUUCGCCCGUGGAGAGCCAGGGGGGACGCUGAAGCCCGGCGUCGCAGCGGAGGGGCGCCUUCAAGUGCUGCCAGGGCUCCCUGGGGAGCCAGAUGGCAGCGAGAAGGGCGAGUGGGACCGGGAGGUUUCUUCCUCCCGAGGAAGACAGGCUUGAGAACGUCUGUGGAUCGUUGGAUACACCACUGGUGCAGAGGUUCUUCAGAGGAAGCGACACCCUUCUAGCAGCACCAAGGAAAGAAACAGAAGAUGGGUCUCCCAUGUUGAGGCGCCCCCUACCAGGGCAAGGUGAGCCCAAGAAUUACACAGGCAGAACCCUCAACAAGAGCAGGGUUUCCUGGAACGUCUGGAGCAGCAACUCUUGACAGUUUAAAGCCCAUUUUCCCUACCACCUCCACCUCCAACCCUCAGGAAUGGAAAGAUCUUUCUGAGAAGAGGGCUGAUAUCUGUUCAAAAUGUAUUUCUGCUGACCACUGACAUCUGAUGAGAGGGUGAGGGGUAGCCUCUAUCACAAAGCUGUAGGACCUAGAGCUGGGGGGAGGGGGUCUUGGGGCUUCACCGCACUAGCCCUGCCUUUUGGGCUCCAUUUACCAGUCAGGCUGAGGCCCAGGAGACAACGACCUGUCCAGAGAUGGCUGUCUGCUUAUACAUGCAUCUGACGCUCCC